rnacentral:rRNA from 1 species
CGCGGCCUAUCAGCUUGUUGGCGAGGUAACGGCUCACCAAGGCAACGACGGGUAGCUGGUCUGAGAGGAUGGCCAGCCACAUUGGGACUGAGAUACGGCCCAGACUCCUACGGGAGGCAGCAGUGGGGAAUCUUGCGCAAUGGCCUAACGGCUGACGCAGCGACGCCGCGUGUAGGAUGAAGCUCUUCGGAGUGUAAACUACUGUUGCCCGGGACGAAUAGCUCGAUUAAUCGAGCCUGACAGUACCGGGUGAGGAAGCACCGGCUAACUCCGUGCCAGCAGCCGCGGUAAUACGGGGGGUGCGAGCGUUGUCCGGAAUCACUGGGCGUAAAGGGCGCGUAGGUGGCCCGGUCAGUUCGUGGUGAAAGCGCGGGGCUCAACUCCGCGUCGGCCAUGAAUACUGCUGGGCUUGAGCACUGUAGAGGCAGGCGGAAUUCCGGGUGUAGCGGUGGAAUGCGUAGAGAUCCGGAAGAACACCGGUGGCGAAGGCGGCCUGCUGGGCAGUAGCUGACACUGAGGCGCGACAGCGUGGGGAGCAAACAGGAUUAGAUACCCUGGUAGUCCACGCCGUAAACGAUGGGCACUAGGCGCUUGGGGGAGCGACCCCUCGAGGGCCGGCGCUAACGCAUUAAGUGCCCCGCCUGGGAGUACG